rnacentral:rRNA from 2 species
CGGAGGAAAAGAAACCAACAGGGAUUGCCUCAGUAACGGCGAGUGAAGCGGCAAAAGCUCAAAUUUUAAAGCUGGCAUCUCCGGUGUCCGCGUUGUAAUUUUGUGAGGCAUCUCCGGGUAGGGCGCCGGUCUAAGUUCCUUGGAACAGGACGUCAUAGAGGGUGAGAAUCCCGUGCUUGGCUGGCUGUCCCCGCCCAUGUGAGGUGUCUUCGACGAGUCGAGUUGUUUGGGAAUGCAGCUCAAAAUGGGUGGUAAAUUUCAUCUAAAGCUAAAUAUUGGUGGGAGACCGAUAGCGCACAAGUAGAGUGAUCGAAAGAUGAAAAGCACUUUGAAAAUAGAGUUAAAAAGUACGUGAAAUUGUUGAAAGGGAAGCGCUUGAGACCAGAGUUCGGUGGGGAGUGAUCAGCCGUCCUUCUGGGCGGUGCACUUGCUCCCCUCCGGGCCAGCAUC